UCUCCCGAUUCCUUCUCACCGAUAACCCCUCUACCCGAGCUUUCCCCUCUCCGGCGAUUUCUCCUCUCCGCCUCUCGGUGUCGCCGGCGCAAGCAACCACCGGAGCUUUGCAGGGCGGGUUCUCCGUCCUCUCCCUCUUGAGGUGUGGAUCCCUCCUCCCUUCCUCUCCCUCCUCUUCCUGCCCUAGAUCGCCGACGGAGAGCGUUCUCCACCUGUGAGCUCGGCUUCAACGCGUCACCAGAGGAAGUCGCCGGAUGUUAUUGAAGAUAUCCAAGCCAUUUCCAGAGGUGUGAUCGCUUCCUCGGUCGGUUCUUGCGCUCGAUCGGGGGAAAUCCAAUCUAGGGCACAACGAGCUCCACACUUGCUGGAUCAGAUUGGGACAACACCAUCCGGAGGUAGUCGAUCAAGAGGAGGUGUUAGUUGGUACAGUGCUUGUGCCGAUCACUGUCUUGUUUCCAAUGCUGGAAGCUGUGGGAGUCUCGGCUGGGGAAUUUGAGAUCGAUUGAGGAAUUGGUGUAGGGCUUCUUGGUAGCUGCCGGCAGAGGUCUUGUUGGGCUGUGAGAUUUGGAUUUUGCUACCAAACCUUAAGGACUUUGUUUCGAGGCGAGCGUCUCAACGUGAAAUUUAUUCUGGACACGAUCUGCAUAUCAAGGCGGGUAUUUCUGCCUUGGCCUCUUUAUAGUUUCUUUGAAACUUAGUGCAUGAUUAUUAUU